AGAGUAUGAUCCUGGCUCAGAACGUACGCUGGCGGCACGCCUAACACAUGCAAGUCGAACGCAGUAGCAAUACUGAGUGGCAAACGGGUGAGUAUAAUGUGGGAAUCUGCCUUUUGGUUUGGAAUAACACGGGGAAACUUGUGCUAAUACCGAAUAAGCCUUCACAGGGAAAGUUUUAAUGCCAAAAGAUGAGCCCGCACUUGAUUAGCUAGUUGGUAAGGUAAAAGCUUACUAAGGCAACGAUCAAUAGCUGUUCUUAGAGGAAGACCAGCCACAUUGGGACUGAGACACGGCCCAGACUCCUACGGGAGGCAGCAGUGGGGAAUCUUGCACAAUGGGGGAAACCCUGAUGCAGCGAUGCCGCGUGAGUGAAGAAGGCCUUUGGGUUGUAAAACUCUUUCGUCGGGGAAGAAAAUGACUGUACCCGAAUAAGAAGGUCCGGCUAACUUCGUGCCAGCAGCCGCGGUAAUACGAAGGGACCUAGCGUAGUUCGGAAUUACUGGGCUUAAAGAGCUCGUAGGUGGUUAAAAAAGUUGAUGGUGAAAUCCCAAGGCUCAACCUUGGAACUGCUAUCAAAACUUUUUAGCUAGAGUGUGAUAG
rnacentral:rRNA from 1 species